rnacentral:rRNA from 1 species
CUACGGGUCGCAGCAGUGGGGGAUAUUGCACAAUGGGCGAAAGCCUGAUGCAGCAACGCCGCGUGAAGGAUGACGGAUUUCGGUCUGUAAACUUCUAUCAGCAGGGAAGAAAAUGACGGUACCUGACUAAGAAGCCCCGGCUAACUACGUGCCAGCAGCCGCGGUAAUACGUAGGGGGCAAGCGUUAUCCGGAAUUACUGGGUGUAAAGGGUACGUAGGCGGCUGAUCAAGUCAGAUGUGAAAGCCCGGAGCUCAACUCCGGGAUUGCAUUUGAAACUGGUCGGCUAGAGUGCAGGAGGGGAAAGUGGAAUUCCUAGUGUAGCGGUGAAAUGCGUAGAUAUUAGGAAGAACACCAGUGGCGAAGGCGGCUUUCUGGACUGUAACUGACGCUGAGGUACGAAAGCGUGGGGAGCGAACAGGAUUAGAUACCCUUGUAGUC